CCAGCCGCCGCGUAACACCGGCGGCCCGAGUGGUGAUCGUGAUUAUUGGGUCUAAAGGGUCCGUAGCCGGUUUGGUCAGUCCUCCGGGAAAUCUGAUAGCUCAACUAUUAGGCUUUCGGGGGAUACUGCCAGACUUGGAACCGGGAGAGGUAAGAGGUACUACAGGGGUAGGAGUGAAAUCUUGUAAUCCCUGUGGGACCACCUGUGGCGAAGGCGUCUUACCAGAACGGGUUCGACGGUGAGGGACGAAAGCUGGGGGCACGAACCGGAUUAGAUACCCGGGUAGUCCCAGCCGUAAACGAUGCUCGCUAGGUGUCAGGCAUGGCGCGACCGUGUCUGGUGCCGCAGGGAAGCCGUGAAGCGAGCCACCUGGGAAGUACGGCCGCAAGGCUGAAACUUAAAGGAAUUGGCGGGGGAGCACAACAACGGGGUGGAGCCUGCGGUUUAAUUGGACUCAACGCCGGACAACUCACCGGGGGCGACAGCAAUAUGUAGGCCAAGCUGAAGACUUUGCCUGAAUCGCUGAGGGGAGGUGCAUGG
rnacentral:rRNA from 1 species